rnacentral:rRNA from 1 species
CCUACGGGAUGCAGCAGUGGGGAAUAUUGGGCAAUGGGCGCAAGCCUGACCCAGCAACGCCGCGUGAAGGAAGAAGGCUUUCGGGUUGUAAACUUCUUUUAUCAGGGACGAAGCAAGUGACGGUACCUGAUGAAUAAGCCACGGCUAACUACGUGCCAGCAGCCCCGGUAAUACGUUGGUGGCAAGCGUUAUCCGGAUUUACUGGGGGUAAAGGGCGUGUAGGCGGGAUUGCAAGUCAGAUGUGAAAACUAUGGGCUCAACCACAAGCCUGCAUUUGAAACUGUACUUCUUGAGUGCUGGGGAGGCAAUCGGAAUUCCGGGUGUAGCGGUGAAAUGCGUAGAUAUAAGGAGGAACACCAGUGGCGAAGGCGGAUUGCUGGACAGUAACUGACGCUGAGGCGCGAAAGCGUGGGGAGCAAACAGGAUUAGAUACCCCGGUAGUC